rnacentral:rRNA from 1 species
AAUCUUGCGCAAUGGGCGAAAGCCUGACGCAGCGACGCCGCGUGAGGGAAGAAGGCCUUCGGGUUGUAAACCUCUUUCAGGAGGGACGAAGCCACUCGGGUUAAUAGCCCAGAGGGUGACGGUACCUCCAGAAGAAGCCCCGGCUAACUAAGUGCCAGCAGCCGCGGUAAUAAGUAGGGGGCAAGCGGUGUCCGGAUUUAUUGGGCGUAAAGGGCGUGUAGGCGGCCAGGCAGGUCCGCUGUGAAAACUCGAGGCUCAACCUCGAGAUGUCGGUGGAAACCGUUUGGCUAGAGUCCGGAAGAGGAGAGUGGAAUUCCCGGUGUAGCGGUGAAAUGCGCAGAUAUCGGGAAGAACACCCGUGGCGAAGGCGGCUCUCUGGGACGGUACUGACGCUGAGACGCGAAAGCGUGGGGAGCGAAC